GACGAACGCUGGCGGCGUGCUUAACACAUGCAAGUCGAACGGAAAGGCCCUGCUUUUGUGGGGUGCUCGAGUGGCGAACGGGUGAGUAACACGUGAGUAACCUGCCCUUGACUUUGGGAUAACUUCAGGAAACUGGGGCUAAUACCGGAUAGGAGCUCCUGCUGCAUGGUGGGGGUUGGAAAGUUUCGGCGGUUGGGGAUGGACUCGCGGCUUAUCAGCUUGUUGGUGGGGUAGUGGCUUACCAAGGCUUUGACGGGUAGCCGGCCUGAGAGGGUGACCGGCCACAUUGGGACUGAGAUACGGCCCAGACUCCUACGGGAGGCAGCAGUGGGGAAUAUUGCACAAUGGGCGGAAGCCUGAUGCAGCAACGCCGCGUGCGGGAUGACGGCCUUCGGGUUGUAAACCGCUUUCGCCUGUGACGAAGCGUGAGUGACGGUAAUGGGUAAAGAAGCACCGGCUAACUACGUGCCAGCAGCCGCGGUGAUACGUAGGGUGCGAGCGUUGUCCGGAUUUAUUGGGCGUAAAGGGCUCGUAGGUGGUUGAUCGCGUCGGAAGUGUAAUCUUGGGGCUUAACCCUGAGCGUGCUUUCGAUACGGGUUGACUUGAGGAAGGUAGGGGAGAAUGGAAUUCCUGGUGGAGCGGUGGAAUGCGCAAAUAUCAGGAGGAACACCAGUGGCGAAGGCGGUUCUCUGGGCCUUUCCUGACGCUGAGGAGCGAAAGCGUGGGGAGCGAACAGGCUUAGAUACCCUGGUAGUCCACGCUGUAAACGGUGGGUACUAGGUGUGGGGUCCAUUCCACGGGUUCCGUGCCGUAGCUAACGCUUUAAGUACCCCGCCUGGGGAGUACGGCCGCAAGGCUAAAACUCAAAGGAAUUGACGGGGCCCCGCACAAGCGGCGGAGCAUGCGGAUUAAUUCGAUGCAACGCGUAGAACCUUACCUGGGUUUGACAUGGAUCGGGAGCGCUCAGAGAUGGGUGUGCCUCUUUUGGGGUCGGUUCACAGGUGGUGCAUGGCUGUCGUCAGCUCGUGUCGUGAGAUGUUGGGUUAAGUCCCGCAACGAGCGCAACCCUUGUUCACUGUUGCCAGCACGUUAUGGUGGGGACUCAGUGGAGACCGCCGGGGUCAACUCGGAGGAAGGUGGGGAUGGCGUCAAGUCAUCAUGCCCCUUAUGUCCAGGGCUUCACGCAUGCUACAAUGGCUGGUACAGAGAGUGGCGAGCCUGUGAGGGUGAGCGAAUCUCGGAAAGCCGGUCUCAGUUCGGAUUGGGGUCUGCAACUCGACCUCAUGAAGUCGGAGUCGCUAGUAAUCGCAGAUCAGCAACGCUGCGGUGAAUACGUUCCCGGG
rnacentral:rRNA from 1 species